UCCGUAGGUGAACCUGCGGAAGGAUCAUUACCUAGAGUUUGUAGACUUCGGUCUGCUACCUCUUACCCAUGUCUUUUGAGUACCUUCGUUUCCUCGGCGGGUCCGCCCGCCGAUUGGACAACAUUCAAACCCUUUGCAGUUGCAAUCAGCGUCUGAAAAAACAUAAUAGUUACAACUUUCAACAACGGAUCUCUUGGUUCUGGCAUCGAUGAAGAACGCAGCGAAAUGCGAUAAGUAGUGUGAAUUGCAGAAUUCAGUGAAUCAUCGAAUCUUUGAACGCACAUUGCGCCCCUUGGUAUUCCAUGGGGCAUGCCUGUUCGAGCGUCAUUUGUACCUUCAAGCUCUGCUUGGUGUUGGGUGUUUGUCUCGCCUCUGCGUGUAGACUCGCCUUAAAACAAUUGGCAGCCGGCGUAUUGAUUUCGGAGCGCAGUACAUCUCGCGCUUUGCACUCAUAACGACGACGUCCAAAAGUACAUUUUUACACUCUUGACCUCGGAUCAGGUAGGGAUACCCGCUGAACUUAAGCAUAUCAAUAAGCGGAGGA
rnacentral:rRNA from 3 species